CGUAGGGUGCAAGCGUUAAUCGGAAUUACUGGGCGUAAAGCGUGCGCAGGCGGUUUUGUAAGUCUGUCGUGAAAUCCCCGGGCUCAACCUGGGAAUUACGAUGGAGACUGCAAGGCUAGAAUCUGGCAGAGGGGGGUAGAAUUCCACGUGUAGCAGUGAAAUGCGUAGAGAUGUGGAGGAACACCGAUGGCGAAGGCAGCCCCCUGGGUCAAGAUUGACGCUCAUGCACGAAAGCGUGGGGAGCAAACAGGAUUAGAUACCCUGGUAGUCCACGCCCUAAACGAUGUCUACUAGUUGUCGGGUUUUAAUUAACUUGGUAACGCAGCUAACGCGUGAAGUAGACCGCCUGGGGAGUACGGUCGCAAGAUUAA
rnacentral:rRNA from 1 species